UCCUUCACUUGAAGGCUCCUCAUAGCACACUCUUUUAUCAGAAGAACAAGAACAAUUGUGCCAUCCUUUCCAUGCUACUCAUUACUCCGAGGACCUCUGUAAUCCACCUUCAUUUGCCUCUUCUCCCAGCCUCUGAGUCCUCAGUCACUUCACUCUUCACACAUUUGUUCCCCUUCAAUCAUUUUAUGAGUUUUCUUAUUAUUAUGGAAGUUCUCCAGGCUCUUUAGCACCCCUUUUCUCCAAAGGCUCCAGCAAGACUUAACUCCAAUAAUCCUGUUUUGUUACCUUCUCCUUUAGGAGUUUCUCCAGGAACGUAAAAUUUACAUCUUAACUGACAGCAAUACCCUCCCCUAACAAAAGGAUGUACUACUAUAUUAGAUUACAUGCUCCCAUGUCAGAGGACUGAGUUCAAUGUGCAUAAACUACUGUCUGCAGUCCACAAGAAAUGUUACAGAGCACACCCUGCCCCAGCAAAUGACAUGGACCCUGCACCUCAUUUCAACUGUGAGAAGCAAUGGGAUACAAUGAAUUCUUUGCCCUCCUUUGGCCAAUAUGUCUCCAAACAACAUAUAACAAAUAACAACAUUUAACAAAUUC